GAUCUCGUAGCUCAGUUGGUAGAGCAAUACACUUUUAAUGUAUGGGUCCUGGGUUCGAGUCCCAGCGGGAUCACGA
rnacentral:tRNA from 1 species